rnacentral:rRNA from 1 species
UACGUAGGGUGCGAGCGUUGUCCGGAAUUAUUGGGCGUAAAGGGCUCGUAGGCGGUCUGUCACGUCAGGAGUGAAAACUCGGGGCUCAACCCCGAGCCUGCUUCUGAUACGGGCAGACUGGAGGUAUGCAGGGGAGAACGGAACUCCUGGUGUAGCGGUGAAAUGCGCAGAUAUCAGGAGGAACACCGGUGGCGAAGGCGGUUCUCUGGGCAUGUCCUGACGCUGAGGAGCGAAAGUGUGGGGAGCGAACAGG